UCCCUGGGGACUAAUGGUUAGGCCAUGUGCUCUCACUGCUGCAGCCCGGGUUCGAUUCCCGGCCAGGGAU
rnacentral:tRNA from 1 species